ACGUACACUCCUACGGGAGGCAGCAGUGGGGAAUAUUGGACAAUGGGCGCAAGCCUGAUCCAGCCAUGCCGCGUGAGUGAUGAAGGCCCUAGGGUUGUAAAGCUCUUUCACCGGUGAAGAUAAUGACGGUAACCGGAGAAGAAGCCCCGGCUAACUUCGUGCCAGCAGCCGCGGUAAUACGAAGGCGGCUAGCGUUGUUCGGAUUUACUGGGCGUAAAGCGCACGUAGGCGGACUAUUAAGUCAGGGGUGAAAUCCCGGGGCUCAACCCCGGAACUGCCUUUGAUACUGGUAGUCUUGAGUUCGAGAGAGGUGAGUGGAAUUCCGAGUGUAGAGGUGAAAUUCGUAUAUUCGGAGGAACACCAGUGGCGAAGGCGGCUCACUGGCUCGAUACUGACGCUGAGGUGCGAAAGCGUGGGGAGCAAACAGGAUUAGAUACCCUUGUAGUCCCA
rnacentral:rRNA from 1 species